rfam:Cereal yellow dwarf virus-RPS RPV Mex-1, complete genome.
CACAACCAGCCGAGCAUACGUAAGUUGCAAGCGUCGGAGGUUUAGUCUUACACAUA